GACGAACCGUGCGAACGUUGUUCGGAAUCACUGGGCUUAAAGGGCGCGUAGGCGGGUCAGCCAGUUCGGGGUGAAAUCCUUCGGCUUAACCGGAGAACUGCCUCGAAGACGACUGAUCUGGAGGGAGGUAGGGGUCGCUGGAACUUCCGGUGGAGCGGUGAAAUGCGUUGAUAUCGGAAGGAACGCCGGUGGCGAAAGCGAGCGACUGGACCUUACUGACGCUGAGGCGCGAAAGCUAGGGGAGCAAACGGG
rnacentral:rRNA from 1 species